rnacentral:rRNA from 1 species
UACGAAGGGGGCUAGCGUUGUUCGGAAUUACUGGGCGUAAAGCGCGCGCAGGCGGUCUUCCAAGUCAGUGGUGAAAGCCCGGAGCUCAACUCCGGAACUGCCAUUGAAACUGUUAAACUUGAGGAUGAGAGAGGUGAGUGGAAUUCCCAGUGUAGAGGUGAAAUUCGUAGAUAUUCGCAAGAACACCAGUGGCGAAGGCGGCUCACUGGUCCGGUACUGACGCUGAGGUGCGAAAGCGUGGGGAGCAAACAGG